UAGCAUAUCAAUAAGCGGGGGAAAAGAAACCCACAGGGAUUGCCCUAGUAACGGCGAGUGAAGCGGCAACAGCUCAAAUUUGAAAUCUGGCGUCUUUGGCGUCCGAGUUGUAAUUUGCAGAGGGCGCUUUGGCGUUGGCAGCAGUCUAAGUUCCUUGGAACAGGACGUCACAGAGGGUGAGAAUCCCGUACGUGGUUGCUGGCCUUCGCCGUGUAAAGCCCCUUCGACGAGUCGAGUUGUUUGGGAAUGCAGCUCUAAAUGGGAGGUAAAUUUCUUCUAAAGCUAAAUACUGGCCAGAGACCGAUAGCGCACAAGUAGAGUGAUCGAAAGAUGAAAAGCACUUUGGAAAGAGAGUCAAACAGCACGUGAAAUUGUUAAAAGGGAAGCGCUUGCAGCCAGACUUGCCUGUAGUUGCUCAUCCGGACUUUUGUCCGGUGCACUCUUCUAUAGGCAGGCCAGCAUCAGUUUGGGCGGUUGGAUAAAGGUCUCUGUCAUGUACCUCUCUUCGGGGAGAACUUAUAGGGGAGACGACAUGCAACCAGCCUGGACUGAGGUCCGCGCAUUUGCUAGGAUGCUGGCGUAAUGGCUGUAAGCGGCCCGUCUUGAAACACGGACCAAGGAGUCUAACAUCUAUGCGAGUGUUUGGGUGUCAAGCCCGAACGCGUAAUGAAAGUGAACGGAGGUGGGAACCCCUCGGGGUGCACCAUCGACCGAUCCUGAUGUCUUCGGAUGGAUUUGAGUAAGAGCAUAGCUGUUGGGACCCGAAAGAUGGUGAACUAUGCUUGAAUAGGGUGAAGCCAGAGGAAACUCUGGUGGAGGCUCGCAGCGGUUCUGACGUGCAAAUCGAUCGUCAAAUUUGGGCAUAGGGGCGAAAGACUAAUCGAACUAUCUAGUAGCUGGUUCCUGCCAA
rnacentral:rRNA from 1 species